UACGUAGGGAGCAAGCGUUGUCCGGAAUUACUGGGCGUAAAGAGCACGUAGGCGGGAACUUAAGUCAGGUGUGAAAGACCGUGGCUCAACCACGGGGUUGCAUUUGAAACUGGGUUUCUUGAGGGCAGGAGAGGAAAGCAGAAUUCCUGGUGUAGCGGUGAAAUGCGUAGAAAUCAGGAGGAAUACCAGUGGCGAAGGCGGCUUUCUGGACUGACCCUGACGCUGAGGUGCGAAAGCGUGGGUAGCAAACAGGAUUAGAUACCCCUCGUAGUCCCUCGAG
rnacentral:rRNA from 1 species